CAGGGGUCGUCCAACGGUAGGACACCGGUCUCUGGAACCGGCUAUCGGGGUUCGAACGUACAGAAGCUAUGAUAGAGUGACGAGCGAAGCUCGAAACAAAUAGCAUUGAUCGUCAGAACGAAGUGACAAUCCCUGCCCCUGUC
rnacentral:tRNA from 1 species